rnacentral:rRNA from 2 species
AUUGGAUUGCACGUCUAAGCAGUAAGGCUGAGUAUUAGGCAAAUCCGGUACUCGUUAAGGCUGAGCUGUGAUGGGGAGAAGACAUUGAGUCUUCGAGUCGUUGAUUUCACACUGCCGAGAAAAGCCUCUAGAUAGAAAAUAGGUGCCCGUACCGCAAACCGACACAGGUAGUCAAGAUGAGAAUUCUAAGGUGAGCGAGCGAACUCUCGUUAAGGAACUCGGCAAAAUGACCCCGUAACUUCGGGAGAAGGGGUGCUCUUUAGGGUUAACGCCCAGAAGAGCCGCAGUGAAUAGGCCCAAGCGACUGUUUAUCAAAAACACAGGUCUCUGCUAAACCGUAAGGUGAUGUAUAGGGGCUGACGCCUGCCCGGUGCUGGAAGGUUAAGAGGAGUGGUUAGCUUCUGCGAAGCUACGAAUCGAAGCCCCAGUAAACGGCGGCCGUAACUAUAACGGUCCUAAGGUAGCGAAAUUCCUUGUCGGGUAAGUUCCGACCCGCACGAAAGGCGUAACGAUUUGGGCACUGUCUCAACGAGAGACUCGGUGAAAUCAUAGUACCUGUGAAGAUGCAGGUUACCCGCGACAGGACGGAAAGACCCCGUGGAGCUUUACUGUAGCCUGAUAUUGAAAUUCGGCACAGCUUGUACAGGAUAGGUAGGAGCCUUUGAAACGUGAGCGCUAGCUUACGUGGAGGCGCUGGUGGGAUACUACCCUAGCUGUGUUGGCUUUCUAACCCGCACCACUUAUCGUGGUGGGAGACAGUGUCAGGCGGGCAGUUUGACUGGGGCGGUCGCCUCCUAAAAGGUAACGGAGGCGCUCAAAGGUUCCCUCAGAAUGGUUGGAAAUCAUUCAUAGAGUGUAAAGGCAUAAGGGAGCUUGACUGCGAGACCUACAAGUCGAGCAGGGUCGAAAGACGGACUUAGUGAUCCGGUGGUUCCGCAUGGAAGGGCCAUCGCUCAACGGAUAAAAGCUACCCCGGGGAUAACAGGCUUAUCUCCCCCAAGAGUUCACAUCGACGGGGAGGUUUGGCACCUCGAUGUCGGCUCAUCGCAUCCUGGGGCUGUAGUCGGUCCCAAGGGUUGGGCUGUUCGCCCAUUAAAGCGGUACGCGAGCUGGGUUCAGAACGUCGUGAGACAGUUCGGUCCCUAUCCGUCGUGGGCGUAGGAAAUUUGAGAGGAGCUGUCCUUAGUACGAGAGGACCGGGAUGGACAUACCUCUGGUGUACCAGUUGUCGUGCCAACGGCAUAGCUGGGUAGCUAUGUGUGGACGGGAUAAGUGCUGAAAGCAUCUAAGCAUGAAGCCCCCCUCAAGAUGAGAUUUCCCAACUUCGGUUAUAAGAUCCCUCAAAGAUGAUGAGGUUAAUAGGUUCGAGGUGGAAGCAUGGUGACAUGUGGAGCUGACGAAUACUAAUCGAUCGAAGACUUAAUC